ACGCUCGACACCUACGGGGAGCAGCAGUGGGGAAUAUUGGGCAAUGGGCGCAAGCCUGACCCAGCAACGCCGCGUGAGUGAUGAAGGUCUUCGGAUUGUAAAACUCUUUAAGCAGGGAAGAAGAAAGUGACGGUACCUGCAGAAUAAGCAUCGGCUAACUACGUGUCAGCAGCCGCGGUAAUCUGAGCGGGCUGGCAAGGC
rnacentral:rRNA from 1 species